rnacentral:sRNA from 1 species
UGCCAAGGCUGCAAAAGCUUCAAACACUUCUACACCUACCAAGGGGAACACAGAAACCAGUGCCAGUGCAUCACAAACAAACCAUGUGAAGGAUGUGAAGAAAAUUAAAAUUGAACAUGCACCUUCUCCAUCAAGUGGUGGAACUUUAAAAAAUGACAAAGCAAAAACAAAGCCACCUCUUCAGGUAACAAAGGUGGAAAAUAAUUUGAUUGUAGAUAAAGCCACCAAGAAAGCAGUCAUAGUUGGAAAGGAGAGUAAAUCUGCUGCUACAAAGGAGGAACCAGUAUCUCUUAAAGAGAAAACCAAACCACUUACACCAAGCAUAGGAGCCAAGGAGAAGGAGCAACAUGUAGCUUUAGUGACCUCUACAUUACCACCGUUACCUUUGCCUCCCAUGCUGCCUGAAGAUAAAGAAGCUGAUAGCUUACGAGGAAAUAUUUCAGUAAAAGCAGUUAAAAAAGAAGUAGAAAAGAAACUCCGAUGUCUUCUUGCUGAUUUACCGCUGCCCCCUGAGCUACCAGGAGGAGAUGAUCUUUCAAAGAGUCCAGAGGAAAAGAAAACAGCAACACAGUUACAUAGUAAAAGGAGGCCUAAAAUAUGUGGGCCUCGCUAUGGUGAAAUCAAAGAAAAAGAUAUUGACUGGGGAAAACGCUGCGUGGAUAAAUUUGAUAUCAUCGGAAUUAUUGGAGAAGGUACUUACGGACAAGUUUACAAAGCCAGGGAUAAAGACACUGGAGAAAUGGUAGCCUUAAAAAAAGUACGUCUGGAUAAUGAAAAGGAAGGCUUUCCAAUUACAGCAAUUCGAGAAAUUAAAAUUCUCCGGCAGCUUACCCAUCAGAGUAUUAUCAAUAUGAAGGAAAUAGUGACUGAUAAAGAAGAUGCUUUGGAUUUCAAGAAGGACAAAGGUGCAUUUUAUCUGGUGUUUGAAUAUAUGGACCAUGAUCUGAUGGGACUACUGGAAUCAGGCUUGGUUCAUUUUAAUGAAAAUCACAUAAAGUCAUUUAUGAGACAGCUCAUGGAGGGUCUGGAUUAUUGUCAUAAGAAGAACUUUUUGCAUAGAGAUAUUAAAUGUUCCAAUAUCCUUCUAAAUAAUAGAGGACAGAUAAAACUUGCAGACUUUGGACUUGCUCGAUUGUAUAGCUCAGAAGAAAGUCGGCCGUAUACUAACAAGGUAAUUACUUUAUGGUACCGUCCACCUGAACUGCUACUGGGAGAAGAACGAUACACACCAGCCAUUGAUGUAUGGAGCUGUGGCUGUAUCCUUGGCGAACUCUUCACUAAAAAACCUAUAUUUCAAGCAAAUCAGGAACUUGCACAACUAGAAUUAAUAAGACAUGAAGAAAAUGAAAUUUCUGAUAAAGGAAACAAAUCUGAGUAUAAUGAGGCAACGGAGUAUACUGAAAAGUGUGUGGCCUUUAGAAUCUUACAGGCUUGGGUUCUAAUGCCAGCUCAGCUACUUCCUGCGCUUAUGGUUUAGGGUCCCAUAUGCUCUUAAGUUUAUUUCUUCAAAAGUAAAAGAGGACUAAUAACAUGCUUAGGGUUGUGAGAAUUAAAUGUAAAUAAGUUUUCAGUACAUAUUUCUUCCCUCACCUUAUUUGCAGUAAUGCUAGGUUGUUUCUCUAAUCUAUAGGCUCAGGAAUGAUGAGACCUAGUGUCAGUAUUGUACAGAUACAUGUAAAACUGGUCAAGAGUGAUAACACUAAUUUGAUUUAAAUGGCUUUACACUAUAGUGAUUAAGUUAUUUUAUUUAUAAUUUGCUUUGUUCCAGAAAGUAUUUUAGGCAGAUUACAAAUAUUUUAUAAUAGAAGUAGCAUAGAUUAAAAAGUGAUAGAGGGAGGCCAGGCACGGUGGCUCAUACCUGUAAUCCCAGCACUUUGGGAGGCCGAGGCAGGUAGAUAAUCUGAGGUCAGCAGUUUGAGACCAGCCUGGCCAACAUGGUGAAACCCCGUCUCUGCUAAAAUACAAAACAAGCCGGGCACAGUGGCUCAUGCCUGUAAUCCCAGCACUUUGGGAGGCCGAGGUGGGCAGGUCAUGAGGUCUUGAGGUCAGGAGAUCGAGACCAUCCUGGCUAACACGGUGAAACCCCGUCUCUUCCAAAACUACAAAAAAAAAAAAAAA